UUAAGCGACUAAGCGUACACGGUGGAUGCCCUGGCAGUCAGAGGCGAUGAAGGACGUGCUAAUCUGCGAUAAGCGUCGGUAAGGUGAUAUGAACCGUUAUAACCGGCGAUUUCCGAAUGGGGAAACCCAGUGUGUUUCGACACACUAUCAUUAACUGAAUCCAUAGGUUAAUGAGGCGAACCGGGGGAACUGAAACAUCUAAGUACCCCGAGGAAAAGAAAUCAACCGAGAUUCCCCCAGUAGCGGCGAGCGAACGGGGAGCAGCCCAGAGCCUGAAUCAGUGUGUGUGUUAGUGGAAGCGUCUGGAAAGGCGCGCGAUACAGGGUGACAGCCCCGUACACAAAAAUGCACAUGCUGUGAGCUCGAUGAGUAGGGCGGGACACGUGGUAUCCUGUCUGAAUAUGGGGGGACCAUCCUCCAAGGCUAAAUACUCCUGACUGACCGAUAGUGAACCAGUACCGUGAGGGAAAGGCGAAAAGAACCCCGGCGAGGGGAGUGAAAAAGAACCUGAAACCGUGUACGUACAAGCAGUGGGAGCACGCUUAGGCGUGUGACUGCGUACCUUUUGUAUAAUGGGUCAGCGACUUAUAUUCUGUAGCAAGGUUAACCGAAUAGGGGAGCCGAAGGGAAACCGAGUCUUAACUGGGCGUUAAGUUGCAGGGUAUAGACCCGAAACCCGGUGAUCUAGCCAUGGGCAGGUUGAAGGUUGGGUAACACUAACUGGAGGACCGAACCGACUAAUGUUGAAAAAUUAGCGGAUGACUUGUGGCUGGGGGUGAAAGGCCAAUCAAACCGGGAGAUAGCUGGUUCUCCCCGAAAGCUAUUUAGGUAGCGCCUCGUGAAUUCAUCUCCGGGGGUAGAGCACUGUUUCGGCAAGGGGGUCAUCCCGACUUACCAACCCGAUGCAAACUGCGAAUACCGGAGAAUGUUAUCACGGGAGACACACGGCGGGUGCUAACGUCCGUCGUGAAGAGGGAAACAACCCAGACCGCCAGCUAAGGUCCCAAAGUCAUGGUUAAGUGGGAAACGAUGUGGGAAGGCCCAGACAGCCAGGAUGUUGGCUUAGAAGCAGCCAUCAUUUAAAGAAAGCGUAAUAGCUCACUGGUCGAGUCGGCCUGCGCGGAAGAUGUAACGGGGCUAAACCAUGCACCGAAGCUGCGGCAGCGACGCUUAUGCGUUGUUGGGUAGGGGAGCGUUCUGUAAGCCUGCGAAGGUGUGCUGUGAGGCAUGCUGGAGGUAUCAGAAGUGCGAAUGCUGACAUAAGUAACGAUAAAGCGGGUGAAAAGCCCGCUCGCCGGAAGACCAAGGGUUCCUGUCCAACGUUAAUCGGGGCAGGGUGAGUCGACCCCUAAGGCGAGGCCGAAAGGCGUAGUCGAUGGGAAACAGGUUAAUAUUCCUGUACUUGGUGUUACUGCGAAGGGGGGACGGAGAAGGCUAUGUUGGCCGGGCGACGGUUGUCCCGGUUUAAGCGUGUAGGCUGGUUUUCCAGGCAAAUCCGGAAAAUCAAGGCUGAGGCGUGAUGACGAGGCACUACGGUGCUGAAGCAACAAAUGCCCUGCUUCCAGGAAAAGCCUCUAAGCAUCAGGUAACAUCAAAUCGUACCCCAAACCGACACAGGUGGUCAGGUAGAGAAUACCAAGGCGCUUGAGAGAACUCGGGUGAAGGAACUAGGCAAAAUGGUGCCGUAACUUCGGGAGAAGGCACGCUGAUAUGUAGGUGAAGUCCCUUGCGGAUGGAGCUGAAAUCAGUCGAAGAUACCAGCUGGCUGCAACUGUUUAUUAAAAACACAGCACUGUGCAAACACGAAAGUGGACGUAUACGGUGUGACGCCUGCCCGGUGCCGGAAGGUUAAUUGAUGGGGUUAGCCGCAAGGCGAAGCUCUUGAUCGAAGCCCCGGUAAACGGCGGCCGUAACUAUAACGGUCCUAAGGUAGCGAAAUUCCUUGUCGGGUAAGUUCCGACCUGCACGAAUGGCGUAAUGAUGGCCAGGCUGUCUCCACCCGAGACUCAGUGAAAUUGAACUCGCUGUGAAGAUGCAGUGUACCCGCGGCAAGACGGAAAGACCCCGUGAACCUUUACUAUAGCUUGACACUGAACAUUGAGCCUUGAUGUGUAGGAUAGGUGGGAGGCUUUGAAGUGUGGACGCCAGUCUGCAUGGAGCCGACCUUGAAAUACCACCCUUUAAUGUUUGAUGUUCUAACGUUGACCCGUAAUCCGGGUUGCGGACAGUGUCUGGUGGGUAGUUUGACUGGGGCGGUCUCCUCCUAAAGAGUAACGGAGGAGCACGAAGGUUGGCUAAUCCUGGUCGGACAUCAGGAGGUUAGUGCAAUGGCAUAAGCCAGCUUGACUGCGAGCGUGACGGCGCGAGCAGGUGCGAAAGCAGGUCAUAGUGAUCCGGUGGUUCUGAAUGGAAGGGCCAUCGCUCAACGGAUAAAAGGUACUCCGGGGAUAACAGGCUGAUACCGCCCAAGAGUUCAUAUCGACGGCGGUGUUUGGCACCUCGAUGUCGGCUCAUCACAUCCUGGGGCUGAAGUAGGUCCCAAGGGUAUGGCUGUUCGCCAUUUAAAGUGGUACGCGAGCUGGGUUUAGAACGUCGUGAGACAGUUCGGUCCCUAUCUGCCGUGGGCGCUGGAGAACUGAGGGGGGCUGCUCCUAGUACGAGAGGACCGGAGUGGACGCAUCACUGGUGUUCGGGUUGUCAUGCCAAUGGCACUGCCCGGUAGCUAAAUGCGGAAGAGAUAAGUGCUGAAAGCAUCUAAGCACGAAACUUGCCCCGAGAUGAGUUCUCCCUGACCCUUUAAGGGUCCUGAAGGAACGUUGAAGACGACGACGUUGAUAGGCCGGGUGUGUAAGCGCAGCGAUGCGUUGAGCUAACCGGUACUAAUGAACCGUGAGGCUUAACCUU
rnacentral:rRNA from 1 species